UACGUAGGGUGCAAGCGUUGUCCGGAAUUAUUGGGCGUAAAGAGCUCGUAGGCGGUUUGUCGCGUCUGCUGUGAAAUCCCGAGGCUCAACCUCGGGUCUGCAGUGGGUACGGGCAGACUAGAGUGCGGUAGGGGUGACUGGAAUUCCUGGUGUAGCGGUGGAAUGCGCAGAUAUCAGGAGGAACACCGAUGGCGAAGGCAGGUCACUGGGCCGCAACUGACGCUGGAGGAGCGGAAAAGCAUGGGGAGC
rnacentral:rRNA from 1 species